rnacentral:rRNA from 1 species
GACGAACGCUGGCGGCGUGCUUAACACAUGCAAGUCGAACGGAAAGGCCCUGCUUGCAGGGUACUCGAGUGGCGAACGGGUGAGUAACACAUGGGUGAUCUGCCCUGCACUUCGGGAUAAGCCUGGGAAACUGGGUCUAAUACCGGAUAGGAGCCAUUUUGAGUGUGAUGGUUGGAAAGUUUUUUCGGUGUAGGAUGAGCUCGCGGCCUAUCAGCUUGUUGGUGGGGUAAUGGCCUACCAAGGCGGCGACGGGUAGCCGGCCUGAGAGGGUGGACGGCCACAUUGGGACUGAGAUUCGGCCCAGACUCCUACGGGGGGCAGCCGUGGGGAAUAUUGCACCAUGGGCGCGAGCCUGAUGCAGCGACGCCGCGUGGGGGAUGACGGCCUUCGGGUUGGAAACUCCUUUCGCUAGGGACGAAGCUUUUUGUGACGGUACCUAGAUAAGAAGCACCGGCUAACUACGUG